rnacentral:rRNA from 1 species
AGUGAACGCUGGCGGUAGGCCUAACACAUGCAAGUCGAACGGCAGCACAGGAGAGCUUGCUCUCUAGGUGGCGAGUGGCGGACGGGUGAGGAAUACAUCGGAAUCUGCCCAGUCGUGGGGGAUAACGUAGGGAAACUUACGCUAAUACCGCAUACGACCUUCGGGUGAAAGAGGGGGAUCGCAAGACCUCUCGCGAUUGGAUGAGCCGAUGUCGGAUUAGCUAGUUAGCGGGGUAAUGGCCCACCAAGGCGACGAUCCGUAGCUGGUCUGAGAGGAUGAUCAGCCACACUGGAACUGAGACACGGUCCAGACUCCUACGGGAGGCAGCAGUGGGGAAUAUUGGACAAUGGGCGCAAGCCUGAUCCAGCCAUACCGCGUGGGUGAAGAAGGCCUUCGGGUUGUAAAGCCCUUUUGCUGGGAAAGAAAUCUUUCAGGCUAAUACCCUGGGAGGAUGACGGUACCCAAAGAAUAAGAACCGGCUAACUUCGUG